AAUCACCUGAGUUACUGAGCAAAUUGCACAGGAAAGAUUGAUUGGUUGGUACUUCUGAUGUCACAAUGAUGCUAUUUGUAAAUCACCUGAGUUACUGGCAUAGCUCUGUCACCAUAACCUCUAGAUGUGACUGUUGAGAGCUUUUCUUAUUAUAGUCUAGCUUCUUUACAUGAGUUUGAAAUCCGAUUGAAUUGCAAAUUAUAUUAGUAACUAUGGAAUAUAUGAAGAGUUUGGGGUCUUCUGUCAUUGAAAUAAUCAAAGCCAAGAAUAAGCGUGAAAUGUUGGAGCAAAAAAUGGACGACCUACUGAGUCAUCAGAGACAAUUUGUCGAAAAUAAUCGUCGGUCCUUAGAACAGAAAAGAAAAGAAAAGCAAAAGGAAGUGUUUCGUCAGCUACAUGACUUACUGAGAGGGGAUCUGCCGUGCGACCAGAUAAACCAGGACUUGCAGCAAGCCAACGACGCUCUACGAGCAGAACUCGACAAAGAAAUGGAGGAAAAAAACCUUCUUCGCUGCCAGUCUGAUCAAAAAUCUCAAGAAAUCCAUCAGCUGCAAGAAGAACUGAAAACAGCUAAACAGUUUCUGAAGGAGACCCAGAAUUAUGCGGAAGAGAUGAAAAUCUAGACAAUCUGAAGGCUUUAGAUCAACUGAAGAAGCAAAAUGGAUUCGCUCACAGUAAACUGAAGACAUGGAUGCAAUCCUGUGCUGAUGAGGUGGCACAUUCGCUGACCCAGGACAACGAGCAAGAGUAUGAGCCAGACGGACUCCCGGAGCUGGUCAGAAAAGGCUUUGCUGAUAUUCCUACUGGGAAAACCAACCCCUGUGUUUUGCGCAGAACAGCGCUAAACCUAAAGACCAGUCCCCGUCUUGCUGCUCAAAGCCAAAAUUUGUCACCAUAUGGCCAACGUUUACAAAAAGGCAGGUCAGAUAAUUUUGCCAAGAUCUCUAAACUGACAGCUGGUGGCAGCAAAUCACCAAAGGUAGAUGAUACUCAACGGUGCCAAGCAGAAACAACUAUUGAACCCAUGGAAUCUCGUUCAAGAUCUCCUCUUUGCAUAAAUAAGCAACCCACAAAAGCUGUUGCUGAGACCUCUAGGGAGAAUCUUAACACACACAAAGGCAGAUGUUCCUUCGGCAGAAAAACAUUACCUGAUCGGAAUGAACAAGACAAAAACUGUAUGGUACAGUAAACCUGAGUAGUAUAGGUAGUAUACCAUGAAAAAAACCCUAACCGCACCCUUUGACCCCUUAAACUCUGC